rnacentral:rRNA from 1 species
AACGAACGCUGGCGGCAGGCCUAACACAUGCAAGUCGAGCGCCCCAGCAAUGGGGAGCGGCAGACGGGUGAGUAACGCGUGGGUAUCUACCUAGUGGUGCGGAAUAGCCCAGGGAAACUUGGAGUAAUACCGCAUAAGCCCGAAAGGGGAAGAUUUAUCGCCAUUAGAUGAGCCCGCGUUGGAUUAGCUAGUUGGUGGGGUAACGGCCCACCAAGGCGACGAUCCAUAGCUGGUCUGAGAGGAUGAUCAGCCACACUGGGACUGAGACACGGCCCAGACUCCUACGGGAGGCAGCAGUGGGAAUAUUGGACAAUGGGCGCAAGCCUGAUCCAGCCAUGCCGCGUGAGUGACGAAGGUCUUCGGAUUGUAAAGCUCUUUUGGCGGGGACGAUAAUGACGGUACCCGCAGAAUAAGCCCCGGCUAACUUCGUGCCAGCAGCCGCGGU